rnacentral:rRNA from 1 species
UACGGGGGGGUAAGCGUUGUUCGGAAUUACUGGGCGUAAAGGGCUCGUAGGCGGCCAACUAAGUCGGACGUGAAAUCCCUCAGCUUAACUGGGGAACUGCGUCCGAUACUGGAUGGCUUGGAUUUGGGAGAGGGAUGCGGAAUUCCAGGUGUAGCGGUGAAAUGCGUAGAUAUCUGGAGGAACACCGGUGGCGAAGGCGGCAUCCUGGACCAACACUGACACUGAGGAGCGAAAGCCAGGGGAGCAAACGGG